UCUUGACAUGGGUAUAUCUUGCUUAUAAAGCAUAAAUUUGAAUCGAUUGAAAUAUUCAAAUGAUUCCGUAAUGAGGUAGAAAAAUAAACUGCAAAGAGUAUUAGAAUUCAUCGGUUUGACUGAUGAAGUGAAUACUUUUACAGUAAGUUUUGACAUAUCUUGGAGAAAAUUAAAUUCUCUCUUAAUAGACCUCUCCUGAGACAUCACUAUUUAAAAAGAUAUCUGAAAAGGAGAAUUAAACUUUGUUAUGCAUGGUUCGGUCUACU
rnacentral:lncRNA from 1 species